rnacentral:rRNA from 1 species
GAUGAACGCUAGCGGCAGGCCUAACACAUGCAAGUCGAGGGGUAACAGGAAGAAGCUUGCUUUUUUGCUGACGACCGGCGCACGGGUGCGUAACGCGUAUACAAUCUACCUUUUACUGGAGAAUAGCCCGGAGAAAUUCGGAUUAAUGCUCCAUAGUAUAACGAAUUCGCAUGUUUUUGUUAUUAAAGUUUCGACGGUAAAAGAUGAGUAUGCGUCCCAUUAGCUAGUUGGAGAGGUAACGGCUCACCAAGGCGACGAUGGGUAGGGGGCCUGAGAGGGUAGUCCCCCACACUGGUACUGAGACACGGACCAGACUCCUACGGGAGGCAGCAGUGAGGAAUAUUGGUCAAUGGACGCAAGUCUGAACCAGCCAUGCCGCGUGCAGGAUGACGGCCCUAUGGGUUGUAAACUGCUUUUAUUUAGGAAGAAACCUCUCUACGUGUAGAGAGCUGACGGUACUAAACGAAUAAGGACCGGCUAACUCCGUGCCAGCCGCCGCCGUAACAC